rnacentral:rRNA from 1 species
CACGUAGGGGGCAAGCGUUGUUCGGAAUUAUUGGGCGUAAAGGGCAUGUAGGCGGUUCUGUAAGCCUGGUGUGAAAUCCUGCAGCUUAACUGUAGAAUUGCAUCGGGUACUGCAAGACUUGAAUCACAGAGGGGAAACUAGAAUUCCAGGUGUAGGGGUGGAAUCUGUAGAUAUCUGGAAGAAUACCGGUGGCGAAGGCGGGUUUCUAGCUGAUGAUUGACGCUGAGGUGCGAAAGUGCGGGGAGCAAACAGGAUUAGAUACCCUGGUAGUCCGCACUGUAAACGAUGUACACUAGGUGUCGGGGCAUGAGUCUCGGUGCCGAAGCUAACGUGAUAAGUGUACCGCCUGGGAAGUAUGCUCGCAAGGGUG